rnacentral:rRNA from 1 species
AUUGAACGCUGGCGGCAUGCCUUACACAUGCAAGUCGAACGGCAGCACGGGAGCAAUCCUGGUGGCGAGUGGCGAACGGGUGAGUAAUACAUCGGAACGUGCCCAGUAGUGGGGGAUAACCCGGCGAAAGCCGGACUAAUACCGCAUACGACCUACGGGUGAAAGCAGGGGAUCGCAAGACCUUGCGCUAUUGGAGCGGCCGAUGUCAGAUUAGCUUGUUGGGGGGUAAAAGCCUACCAAGGCAACGAUCUGUAGCUGGUCUGAGAGGACGACCAGCCACACUGGGACUGAGACACGGCCCAGACUCCUACGGGAGGCAGCAGUGGGGAAUUUUGGACAAUGGGCGCAAGCCUGAUCCAGCCAUGCCGCGUG